rnacentral:lncRNA from 1 species
ACCAAGGGCAGUUUGGAGGUCAGAAACAAGAUGUAGUCAACGAUGUCAGAUUUCUCUUACUGUCAUAAUUUUGCAGGUGCAGUUCUACCUUUCCAAUACCACAGUUUUUUGCAGGAGUAGAUGGAGUCUUUUUCAUGGUCUACUCCCUGGUGUUAACAACCUUGCUUUUUCCAAUGACUUGAGAGUUCUCCUGCCCAACAAACAGAAGAUAAUUUGCUCUCUGAGGUCUGUUGAAAGAUAAACUUUGGCACAUUAAAAUUUUAGAGUUUAUUUGAACGACAACAAUUCUUGAAUGAGGCAACUCUGAACUGGAAGUGUUUUUUUUUUUUCCAGGACUCCUCUAACAGAGCAUGAGAAGGAAGCUUUUAUAGCAUGAUUGAAGAAGCAAGGCAAAGAAAAUAUUUGAUUGGUUACAGUGGAGGAGUAGCCUUAUUUGGAUCAUUCCAGUGGAAAGUCCAUUGUCAGAGGCUCUCUGUUGCUGAGGAGGAGGCCUGAAACUGCACAUGCUUCAUAAACAGAUGAGAAGUCAAACGGCUUCAGAGGGGACCCAGCCUACAGGCAAAGAGCCCUGCUUUGAACUUCAUCAAAAUGCUUUGUUUAGC